CCUACGGGUGGCAGCAGUGGGGAAUAUUGGGCAAUGGAGGCAACUCUGACCCAGCAAUGCCGCGUGAGUGAUGAAGGUAAUUGUAUUGUAAAGCUCUUUUCUUUGGAACGAAUAAAUGACGGUACCAAAGGAAUAAGCCCCGGCUAACUACGUGCCAGCAGCCGCGUUAAUGCGUAGGGGGCAAGCGUUAUCCGGAUUUAUGGGGUUCAAAGGGUGCGUAGGGGGAAGGUUAAGUCAGCGGUAAAAUGUCGGUGCUCAAAACCGGCCUGCCGUUGAAACUGGUCUUCUUGAGUGAGCGAGAAGUAUGCGGAAUGCGUGGUGUAGCGGUGAAAUGCAUAGAUAUCACGCAGAACUCCGAUUGCGAAGGCAGCAUACCGGCGCUCAACUGACGCUGAGGCACGAAAGCGUGGGGAUCGAACAGGAUUAGAUACCCUUGUAGUC
rnacentral:rRNA from 1 species